UACGGGGGGGGGUAAGCGUUGUUCGGAAUUACUGGGCGUAAAGGGCUCGUAGGCGGCCAACUAAGUCAGACGUGAAAUCCCUCGGCUUAACCGGGGAACUGCGUCUGAUACUGGAUGGCUUGAGUUUGGGAGAGGGAUGCGGAAUUCCAGGUGUAGCGGUGAAAUGCGUAGAUAUCUGGAGGAACACCGGUGGCGAAGGCGGCAUCCUGGACCAAUAUUGACGCUGAGGAGCGAAAGCUAGGGGAGCAAACGGG
rnacentral:rRNA from 1 species